rnacentral:sRNA from 1 species
UUUUUUUAGAAACAAUAACUAUCUAUAUAUACAUUUUUGCAGCCACUUUAACAAAUAAAUCUUCACUUAGCACUUAUUUACUAUGGCAUGCCAUUGACAUUUAUUAUUUUACUA